rnacentral:misc_RNA from 1 species
UGGAAUAACUAAUUCCGUUUAAAAUAUCUGAGCUCAUACAAAACCUAAAAAGCCUAAAAUCAAGACAAAUUGAACUCCUAGCAAAGCAACAAAUUAUGCUAGCAACUUGCUGCCGCAUAUGUUACAGUUGACCUCAACUCUCUCAAUAUCUAAAACUACAACUAAAACUUUAAAUUGGACAACAAAAAGAAAGAAAUAAGAAACUGAAAAGGAGCAUUCAUCACCAUCUCAAUUUGCCAAGCUAUCCAAGAAGCUUUGCAACUCCCUUAAACCCUCAGCAGAGAAGCUCCUAUGCACUCUCGAGCGUGGGGCAACCAAGUUAGGGGGAGGCUCAGAUCUGAAGCACACCACAACAACAGCUAAAUUGUCCCCACUCUUCCUCUUCAAAGCUUCAUCAACCAGAUCUUUGCU